rnacentral:rRNA from 1 species
UACGAAGGGGACUAGCGUUGUUCGGAAUCACUGGGCGUAAAGCGCACGUAGGCGGAUGUGUCAGUCAGGGGUGAAAUCCCGGGGCUCAACCUCGGAACUGCCUUUGAUACAGCACGUCUCGAGUCCGGAAGAGGUGGGUGGAAUUCCUAGUAUAGAGGUGAAAUUCGUAGAUAUUCGCAAGAACACCAGUGGCGAAGGCGGCUCACUGGCCCGAUACUGACGCUGAGGCACGAAAGCGUGGGGAGCAAACAGG